GGGAGAGAGAGAGAGGUCAUUUCGAAUUAUUUUUUCUUCAUAACCAUGUGCAAAACUUUCGAUCAAAUUGUUUUAAUUCCGAGAUGCUAAAAAUUGCAGGAUCAAUGAACACAAGAACAACUCCAACAUUAUUCUAUAUUUAUGAAACAAAUCCAAAGAUAAUGACUUCAUUCAUCUAUUGGUUUUCUUGCUUUGACAAAUUUGGAAAAGCCGGAAUUCCUUUAUUUUCAACCAUCAAGCCUCAAAACUUCCAAGAUAUCAUUUGGUGCUGCUUUAAACAACUUUGAUAAUUUUCUUUCAGACAGGCUAGGAUAGAGCCUGAAGCCUCUCCCUCCGUAGUCCCGCAGCUGAAUUGGGUUCCUCCUCCAAGAGAUGUGUUUAAGGUGAAUUUUGAGGAUGCAAUUUCUGUCAGUCAGCGUAUGGGAGCUGUUGCGGUAGUUGCUAGAAAUCAAUUUGGAGAUCCUUGUGGCUGGCGAUUACAACAACUUUAAGCCAUGACAAAUCAUUUAGUUAUUGAAUGCUUAGCUUGCAGGAAGGCCCUUCUCAUGACUAAGGACAAGGGUUUCAGCAAAGUUGCUAUCAAGGGAGAUGCUCUUGUAAUCAUUCAAUCAGUCAAAGGGAAUCCAGCCCCCCUAGAGAUUCAGUGCAUCAUUGCAGAUAUUCAAUCUCUAGAUAUGGAUUUCCAGGAGAUCAGUUUCAACUUUGUUAAUUUUGUUAAGAGAGCAUGUAAUAGUGCUGCUCAUAGUUUUAGCCACAAAGACAUUACAUGACUAUUCUUUCUUUUGUAAUCCAACUAUGCAAACUGAUUUUGUACUUGGGACAAAUGCCUAUUUGACUCUUCAAU
rnacentral:misc_RNA from 1 species